CGGUGAUCCUGGCGCAGCUGCUGCGGCGCUGCCGCGGGGGCUUCCUGGAGCCAGUUUUCCCCCCACGACCUGACCGUGUCGCUAUAGUGACGGGAGGGACAGAUGGCAUUGGCUAUUCUACAGCGAAGCAUCUGGCGAGACUUGGCAUGCAUGUUAUCAUAGCUGGAAAUAAUGACAGCAAAGCCAAACAAGUUGUAAGCAAAAUAAAAGAAGAAACCUUGAACGACAAAGAGACGUGAGUCUUGCUGUGUUGCCCGGGCUGGCUUUGCCUCUGGAACUCAAGCGAUCCUCCCACCUCAGCCUCUCGAGGAGCUGGGACUACAGGCGUGCACCAUCAUUUCCUCCUAAAAUU
rnacentral:lncRNA from 1 species